UUGCACAAAUAAAUGGGCAGAACCCACUCAGCUUUGGGUUUUCAUAGUGAUAGAGUGGGAGCUUUCAUCACCAUCCCAGUGCUGGACCUCAUCUGCUGCAGUCUUAUGGAGACAGGGGACUGUUAUUAGAAGCUGUGUGAACAAUCUACAGCAAGGAACUGAAUAGGAAUGUUUGGCUAUUUUUUUUUCCCCCUCCCUGUUUUCAAACUAUCUGUGAGCCUGCCUGGAUGUUCUUGAAUGUGUGUAUUGUUUGAAGGAAUACUGCCUAUCAUUUCUGUGAAUAAUCAUUUAUUUGUAUCUUGCUUACAUCCAUUUAGAUAGUCAAAACCUCGUCUCUGUUCCGUGGUUGUAUGGGUGUGACUCUGAGAUUGCCACCAAGAAUCCCCACAGUCAGCAGUGAUAAGUCCUGAACCUUCUGUUUUCAAACAGAUCUUCUCUGGAUUAUAUAUUUACACCUGGACAACAAGCUUUGCUAUCCUUCUGAUGAAGAUGAAUGUCCACAUCAGUGUCUGACAAGUGAGAAUGAGGGAAUUCAGGAGAAAAAACACUUUCAUCCAGUCCCAGAAGGUAAGGCUAUGUUUGGAUAAGUGUGACUGGUGGCUUAGUGUACAUUUUCCCAUCCACUCCUUGCUGAGGGCAAAUGUAAGGUUGAAUCCAUACAGCUGGACAGGGUAACAAGCCAGAGGGCCAAGAAGGCAUGAUAAGACAUGUUUGCUCAGCAGAGGAAGAGGCGUGACUUUCACACAUGCCAGCCUGAGCAAUGAGAUCAGG